CCUACGGGAGGCAGCAGUGAGGAAUAUUGGUCAAUGGACGAGAGUCUGGACCAGCCAAGUAGCGUGAAGGAUGACUGCCCUAUGGGUUGUAAACUUCUUUUAUAAAGGAAUAAAACGCGGCACGUGUGCCUUUUUGCAUGUACUUUAUGAAUAAGGAUCGGCUAACUCCGUGCCAGCAGCCGCGGUAAUACGGAGGAUCCGAGCGUUAUCCGGAUUUAUUGGGUUUAAAGGGAGCGUAGAUGGGUUGUUAAGUCAGUUGUGAAAGUUUGCGGCUCAACCGUAAAAUUGCAAUUGAUACUGGCAGUCGUGGGUACAGUUGAGGUAGGCGGAAUUCGUGGUGUAGCGGUGAAAUGCUUAGAUAUCACGAAGAACUCCGAUUGCGAAGGCAGCUUACUAAACUGCCACUGACAUUGAUGCUCGAAAGUGUGGGUAUCAAACAGGAUUAGAUACCCUUGUAGUC
rnacentral:rRNA from 1 species